GUGCUCUCUUCUGCAGCACAAGUAUUAAAAUUGGAAAGAUACAGUUAAGAUGAGUAUGGCCCCUGCGCAAAGACGACAUGCCAAUUCAUGAAGUGUUCCAUACUUUU